UACGAGGGGUGCAAGCGUUGCUCGGAAUUAUUGGGCGUAAAGGGUAGGUAGGUGGUCUCAUUUGUCUGGGGUGAAAGCCUCGAGCUUAACUCGAGAAGUGCCCCAGAAACGGUGAGACUUGAGUCUUGGAGAGGGUUGCGGAAUUCCCGGUGUAGCGGUGAAAUGCGUAGAGAUGUGGAGGAACACCGAUGGCGAAGGCAGCCCCCUGGGUCAAGAUUGACGCUCAUGCACGAAAGCGUGGGGAGCAAACAGG
rnacentral:rRNA from 1 species